rnacentral:rRNA from 1 species
AUUGAACGCUGGCGGUAUGCUUAACACAUGCAAGUCGAACGGUAACAUUAGGGUGCUUGCACUCUAGAUGACGAGUGGCGGACGGGUGAGUAAUGCAUAGGAAUCUACCCAAAAGUCUGGGAUAGCUUGUGGAAACGCAAGGUAAUACCGGAUGUGAUUUACGAAUUAAAGGCGGCGCAAGCUGUCGCUUUUGGAUGAGCCUAUGUCGGAUUAGCUUGUUGGUGGGGUAAAGGCCUACCAAGGCAACGAUCCGUAGCUGUUCUGAGAGGAAGAUCAGCCACAUUGGGACUGAGACACGGCCCAGACUCCUACGGGAGGCAGCAGUGGGGAAUAUUGGACAAUGGGGGCAACCCUGAUCCAGCAAUACCGCGUGUGUGAAGAAGGCCUGCGGGUUGUAAAGCACUUUCAGUAGUGAGGAAGGUGUUUGCUUUAAUAGAGUAGACAUUUGACGUUAGCUACAGAAGAAGCACCGGCUAACUCUG